rnacentral:tRNA from 1 species
GCCUGUUUAGCUCAGCUGGUUUAGAGCAUCCGUCUCAUACGCGGAAUGUCAUUGGUUCAAGUCCAAUAGCAGGCA